rnacentral:misc_RNA from 1 species
GUGAAUCAUCAAAUCUUUGAACGCAAAUUGCACUCUCUGGUAUUCCGGAGAGUAUGCCUGUGUGAGGGUAAGUUUAAAUAAAAAUCGGUGUGGUUGCUGGCUUUCGUGGUGACGCACCGGAUUUGGGUCGUCUUGCCUUCGGUUAAGUGACCUAAAAUUUUGCUUGAUUUUUUUCGAACGUAUUUAAGUGUUUUUAUGUAAGUUUCGGAUAUGGUAUACUAGGUGUUGUG